AUGUUCUCUGUAGCUCUGCUGCUGCUGCUGGCUGCUGGAUCCUGUGUUGAUGGUCAGACUCUGACACAAUCUGAACCAGUGGAUAAAAAGCCUGCAGAGUCCCACACAUUGACCUGCACAGCCUCUGGAUUCACACUCAGCAGCUACUGGAUGAACUGGAUCAGACAGGCUCCUGGAAAAGGACUAGAGUGGAUUGCAAUUAUCAACGGUGAUAGUACUAGUUCUCCUAUCUACUACUCCCAGUCAGUCCAGGGUCGAUUCACCAUCUCCAGAGACGACUCCAGCAGUGAGGUGUAUCUCCAGAUGAACAGUCUGAAGACUGAGGACACAGCCGUGUAUUACUGUGCCCGAACAGACACAGUGUGUACAGUAUUGAUCUGA